rnacentral:rRNA from 1 species
UACAGAGGUGCCCAGCGUUGUUCGGAUUUAUUGGGCGUAAAGGGUGCGUAGGCGGUCAUAUAAGUCGGAUGUGAAAUACCGGAGCCUAACUCCGGAAUGGCAUUCGAAACUAUAUGGCUAGAGAUCUGCAGAGGUGAUUGGAAUUCUCGGUGUAGCAGUGAAAUGCGUAGAUAUCGAGAGGAACACCAGAGGCGAAGGCGAAUCACUGGACAGAAUCUGACGCUGAGGCACGAAAGCUAGGGGAGCAAACGGG